rnacentral:rRNA from 1 species
GAUGAACGCUGGCGGCGUGCCUAAUACAUGCAAGUCGAGCGAACAGACGAGGAGCUUGCUCCUCUGACGUUAGCGGCGGACGGGUGAGUAACACGUGGAUAACCUACCUAUAAGACUGGGAUAACUUCGGGAAACCGGAGCUAAUAACGGAUAAUAUAUUGAACCGCAUGGUUCAAUAGUGAAAGACGGUUUUGCUGUCACUUAUAGAUGGAUCCGCGCCGCAUUAGCUAGUUGGUAAGGUAACGGCUUACCAAGGCAACGAUGCGUAGCCGACCUGAGAGGGUGAUCGGCCACACUGGAACUGAGACACGGUCCAGACUCCUACGGGAGGCAGCAGUAGGGAAUCUUCCGCAAAGGGCGAAAGCCUGACGGAGCAACGCCGCGUGAGUGAUGAAGGUCUUCGGAUCGUAAAACUCUGUUAUUAGGGAAGAACAAAUGUGUAAGUAACUAUGCACGUCUUGACGGUACCUAAUCAGAAAGCCACGGCUAACUACGUG